CCUACGGGAGGCAGCAGUGGGGAAUAUUGGGCAAUGGGCGCAAGCCUGACCCAGCAACGCCGCGUGAAGGAAGAAGGCUUUCGGGUUGUAAACUUCUUUUAUCAGGGACGAAGCAAGUGACGGUACCUGCUGAAUAAGCCACGGCUAACUACGUCCCAGCAGCCGCGGCAAUACGGAGAUGGCAAGCGUUAUCCGGAUUUUCUGGGUGUAAAGGGCGUGUAGGCGGGAGUGCAAGUCAGAUGUUAAAACUAAGGGCUCAACCCAUAGCCUGCAUUUGAAACUGUACUUCUUGGGAGCUGUAGAGGCAAUCGGAAUUCGGUGUGUAGCGGUGAAAUGCGUAGAUAUACGGAGGAACACCAGUGGCGAAGGCGGAUUGCUGGACAGUAACUGACGCUGAGGCGCGAAAGCGUGGGGAGCAAACAGGAUUAGAUACCCCAGUAGUC
rnacentral:rRNA from 1 species